rnacentral:antisense_RNA from 1 species
GGGCAGGCCGCUCGAAUUUGACCCGAGUGGGCCGCGAUCGGCCGAGGAUUUGGGGUACUCUUUGACCCAGGCGGGGCGCGAUCCGCCUAGGAUUUGGGGUCCCCUGGCGCCGAACCCUGAGUUGCCAGAUUUAGCAAGUAAAAGUACAGUUCUUCUAAAUUUGAAUUUCAGACAGGACAGGUUUUAGGGUUCGUCUCCUGUAAUGUUGAGAAGGUGAGGGCGGCGCCUGGGCGGAUUCUUCUCCGUUCCAGAAUCCCUGAAUCCCUUUCUUUUCAAACCGCAUUACAGCCCGAGUUAAAUUCUUUAACCUACUCCUCUCUGCUUACCCUCAUAAGGUUUACGGCCGUAUCAGCCUACGGCUGUUUGAUUCCCCUUUUAGCCACAAGAAAGUUUUAUUCGAACUACUUGCUUUCCUUUAUCAAGAAAAUGGCAACGCACACACAUACAUGCACACACAAAUAAAAACACAAAGCUGUGUUUUUCAGGUUUUGUUCUAGAUCGUGUUUGUGGCUGUGUUCUUCAGGAUAUUUUCCCUGACCUUGAGGAUUUCCCUCAUCUACCUUUCUUUGGGAGAUACGACUAAAACCAACAAAAGCCAAGUUUGGUAAAUAAGAAGUUUAAACAAGUGCUUCUCUGUACAGCUCAUCCACUUCCUCAUCUGUAAACCGAUCCCCCAUGGUUGUCAGCAGCUCUCUCAAGUAAUCUUCCUGAAUGGUGCCUGGAGAAUAAAGAACAAGGGAUCAGAAUACAUACUAUUCUGAGGGUUAAUUACAAAGAAUAUCUAUACUCAACUAAGCAUGUUCUGUAUGUUACAAACUAUAAACAUGCAAAGAUAUAUGAACUACAGGGUGUCCACCUACUUAAAACAGCCUCAGCAGAGAAGUGCCUAGAAAAAUGCCUAGCUGCUUAGCAGCACUGCUCCGCUCUAUCAUUUGCUCUAUCAUUCUGCCUCCACAUUCAGCUUCUGAUCUCUUGAUAAGAGAGACUAAACCUAUGCCUAAACAAAGUAAUAAAAAGUAUGGUUAAAGAA